AGAGUUUGAUCCUGGCUCAGAAUCAACGCUGGCGGCGUGCCUAACACAUGCAAGUCGAACGCGAAAGUGGAGCAAUCCAUGAGUAGAGUGGCAAACGGGUGAGUAACACGUGGGUGACCUGCCUUCGAGUGGGGGAUAACUUUCCGAAAGGAAGGCUAAUACCGCAUGACAUACCGUGUUCAGAUACACGGAUAUCAAAGCUGGGGAUCGCAAGACCUGGCGCUUGAAGAGGGGCCCGCGUCCGAUUAGCUAGUUGGUGAGGUAACGGCUCACCAAGGCUCCGAUCGGUAUCCGGCCUGAGAGGGCGGACGGACACACUGGAACUGAGACACGGUCCAGACUCCUACGGGAGGCAGCAGUGGGGAAUUGUUCGCAAUGGGCGAAAGCCUGACGACGCAACGCCGCGUGGAGGAUGAAGAAUUUCGGUUCGUAAACUCCUUUCGACCGAGAUGAACAUCCCGCGAUCUAAUAAGUCGUGGGACUGACAGUAUCGAGAGAAGAAGCCCCGGCUAACUCUGUGCCAGCAGCCGCGGUAAUACAGGGGGGGCAAGCGUUGUUCGGAAUUACUGGGCGUAAAGGGUUCGUAGGUGGCCAACUAAGUCAGACGUGAAAUCCCUCAGCUUAACUGGGGAACUGCGUCUGAUACUGGUUGGCUUGAGUGCAGGAGAGGAAUGCGGAAUUCCAGGUGUAGCGGUGAAAUGCGUAGAUAUCUGGAGGAACACCGGCGGCGAAGGCGGCAUUCUGGACUGUAACUGACACUGAGGAACGAAAGCCAGGGGAGCAAACGGGAUUAGAUACCCCGGUAGUCCUGGCCCUAAACGAUGAAUGCUUGGUGUGGCGGGUAUCGAUCCCUGCCGUGCCGAAGUUAACGCAUUAAGCAUUCCGCCUGGGAGUACGGUCGCAAGGCUGAACUCAAAGGAAUUGACGGGG
rnacentral:rRNA from 1 species